UACGUAGGGUGCGAGCGUUAAUCGGAAUUACUGGGCGUAGAGCGUGCGCAGGCGGUGAUGUAAGACCGAUGUGAAAUCCCCGGGCUUAACCUGGGAACUGCAUUGGUGACUGCAUUGCUCGAGUAUGGCAGAGGGGGGUGGAAUUCCACGUGUAGCAGUGAAAUGCGUAGAGAUGUGGAGGAACACCGAUGGCGAAGGCAGCCCCCUGGGCCAAUACUGACGCUCAUGCACGAAAGCGUGGGGAGCAAACAGG
rnacentral:rRNA from 1 species